AGUGAACGCUGGCGGUAGACCUAACACAUGCAAGUCGAACGGCAGCACAGUAAGAGCUUGCUCUUACGGGUGGCGAGUGGCGGACGGGUGAGGAAUACAUCGGAAUCUACUUUUUCGUGGGGGAUAACGUAGGGAAACUUACGCUAAUACCGCAUACGACCUACGGGUGAAAGCAGGGGAUCUUCGGACCUUGCGCGAUUGAAUGAGCCGAUGUCGGAUUAGCUAGUUGGCGGGGUAAAGGCCCACCAAGGCGACGAUCCGUAGCUGGUCUGAGAGGAUGAUCAGCCACACUGGAACUGAGACACGGUCCAGACUCCUACGGGAGGCAGCAGUGGGGAAUAUUGGACAAUGGGCGCAAGCCUGAUCCAGCCAUACCGCGUGGGUGAAGAAGGCCUUCGGGUUGUAAAGCCCUUUUGUUGGGAAAGAAAAGCAGCAGGUUAAUACCCCGCUGUUCUGACGGUACCCAAAGAAUAAGCACCGGCUAACUCCGUG
rnacentral:rRNA from 1 species